rnacentral:rRNA from 1 species
AGUGAACGCUGGCGGCAGGCCUAACACAUGCAAGUCGAACGAAAGCACAGUAAGCGCUUGCUCUUACGGGUGGCGAGUGACGGACGGGUGAGGAAUACAUCGGAAUCCACUUUUUCGUGGGGGAUAACGUAGAGAAACUUAUGCUAAUACCGCAUAUGUCGUACGGGUGAAAGCAGGGGUUCUUCGUACCUUUCGUGAUUGUAAGAGCCGAAGCCGGAUUAGCUAGUUGGCGGGGUAAAGGCACACCAAGGCAACGAUCCGUAGCUGAUCUGAGAGGAUGAUCAGCCACACUGGAACUGAGACACGGUCCAGACUCCUACGGGAGGCAGCAGUGGGGAAUCUUCGGCAAUGGGCGCAAGCCUGAUCCAGCAAUACCGCGUGAGUGAAGAAGGUCUUCGGAUUGUAAAGCCCUGUUGUUAGGAAAGAACAACAGCAUGUUUAUACGCCGCUGUUCUGACGGUACCCAAAGAAAAAGCCCCGGCUAACUUCGUG